UUGAGCAUUUCGAAAAGUCAAUAUCAAUUGGUAAUUCUGGGCUUUUAUGAUGUUAGUUUUCGGAAUUCCAACUGAUAUACGCUUUUUAAAUGAU
rnacentral:pre_miRNA from 1 species